rnacentral:rRNA from 1 species
GACGUAGGGGGCAAGCGUUAUUCGGAAUCAUUGGGCGUAAAGCGCUCGUAGGCGGGAAGGCAAGUCCGUGUUGAAAGACCUCGGCUCAACUGAGGGACCGGCUCGGAUACUGUUUUUCUUGAGGCAUUCAGAGGGUGAUGGAAUUCCCGGUGUAGCGGUGAAAUGCGUAGAUAUCGGGAGAACACCAGUGGCGAAGGCGAUCACCUGGGGAGUGUUCUGACGCUGGAGGAGCGAAGCUAGGGGAGCAAAACGGG